CGUGGAAGUGUACAGAAUGAAACUUUGCGCUGUGUUUAUUUGUUACUGCGUAUUCUUCAUUGACCAAAAUCUAGUGGCAGCAAAAUUUUUAGACCAAGUUACGAACAGCCUUCCGAGCCGAAUUAAGCAGAAUAUACCCGCGCCAGGAUACCGAGAAAAGAUUUUGAACUUUGCCAUUAAGUUUGCUCCGGACUUGUUGGGGAUCAAAUCAGCUCUGCAAUUAAGACAACGCAUGUUACAAAGCCGACGCAUAGGAGUAGGGUCGAAAAGCCUACAAAAUGGUAUGAAUAAGAUCAGAAACAAGUUUGGUAACAUCAAGCCCUGGACCAAAGACAACGGUAUCCAUCCAAGCUCAAAGAACAAUGGCUUGUCUGAUAUGGCCUCCGGCGCAAUGAAGAGCUGCGGAUGCAUGUUUUCAUGAAUAAUGAUAUGAUUUUUACAAUCUCGAAAAUGAAACAUUUGAGAAAUAAUUUGAAUUUUUUCUUUGCAAUCUUCGUUGCGGUUUGUGAUUUUCUACUUAAAAUAU